rnacentral:tRNA from 3 species
UCCAGCGGUGGGCCGGGGCUUGCGGGCCGGACGCGCCCGGAGUGGGCGUGACGGUACUAUGUGGCAAUGGUUUCCAUGUUCAAGAAUGGAGCCGGAUC